ensembl:lncRNA
AGGUACCCUUGGGAAUAGAAUGCAAAGCCCUUUUUCCCCUGACUGCAUUUUUGAACCUGGCCAAACACUGUGACUCUACCUUUCCUUGAGGAACAUCAUUCAUACACUCUAGUUAAAAAACAAUCAUGCAAAUCUGCUAAAAGGAGAUUGCAGGUGCUCCAUCACACAAGAAAAAUGUCCAAAGAGUGACAGAAGGAGCGACCCAGAGAAGUGUUCCUCAGCUGGUGCCCACUCACUGCUGUCAAAGUUCCAAGCACAUUUCACCCAUAAAUGGUUGAACCAGGACUUCCUCAUAGCACCUGGAGGCCCAGAGGGUGCCCUCUUCACUGCCCAUGUGUCCUGUUUGCUGUUGUUCAGUCUCCAGAGGCCUGUUUCCUGCCCUAGAGGUGAACAAGUCUGCGACAGAAUUAAUGAGCGAUAUCCUACUGAUG